rnacentral:lncRNA from 1 species
GGUGGAGCUCAAGUGCUGGCAACGGGCAAGUCUGCUGGGGAGGAAACUGAUAUCAAAUAUGCCCUCAUCGGGACUGCUCUGGGCUUCAUCAUAUCAGCUGGCUUUCUGGCCCUGAAAAUCUGCAUGAUCAGGAAGCACUUGUUUGAUAAUGACUCCUCAGACCUGAGAAGCAUGAACGCGGGCUCCAGUGAGACCAUGGCGCUAAAGAAGAGAGCCCCAAGGUUAAACCUCAGUCUCUCUGAAAGGACAUUGCACCAGGAGGCACAUUGCCCCAGGCUCUCUCACCAUUGGUGAUGCUGCAUUUGAUGGCUUAAGUUAAGGAAGCAACAGCUAGACCUUUGCAUUGUUGAGAGAAAAUCAGCCCUUUGUAAUUAGUAAAUUAUCAGAAGCGUGGGACUAUGAGACCAUGGGAACAGCCUGACCCCAGUAAUUCUUCACCCAAUGAUCUAACAUCUAUUUGUGAUCCAUUUUUGAAUCAGUUAUUGCAUUGAGGGUUCUAAUUCCAGCAUUCUUUCUACAUUUAAUAGCUGGCAUUCUUCUAGAAGAAAGACUCCUUUUCCCCUUUUUCUCUUUCUUUUACUUAUUGAAAGUUAUUCCUAUGGACGUCAAUGAAUUAUCUUUCAUCACCAUCAUGAAUCUUUCUGAUGCUCAAAUUGUCCCAAGUUAUCAGUAUAAGUCACUACUUGGUGGUUUUAGAGAGGAUCCUAAUAGUCAUUGAGCAUUUCCUAGAUUUCUGACAUAAUAUCAUGUGUCAGUCUCACCUUUUCUUGUUUGUUUGUUUGUUUGUUUUUGCUUUUUAGGGUCACACCCAUGACAUAUGUAUGGAGGUUCCCAGGCUAGGGGUCUAAUUGGAGCUAGAGCUGCCAGCCUACAGCACAGCCACAGCAACAUGGGAUCCGAUCUGAGUCUUCAACCUACCACCACAGCUCACAACAAUGUCGACUCUUUAACCCACUGAGCAAGGCCAGGGAUCGAACCUGCAACCUCAGGUUCCCAGUCGGAUUCAUUUCUGCUGUGCCACAACGGGAACUCCCAUGUCAUUCUUACCUUGUACUGUCCUUGCCCAGACCUGGAAUCACCCAUUUGUCCAUCCCUUUCUCCUCUUCCUCCUUGUUUUAGAUGUGGAAUAGGUUUUUGAAACCAAGAUCUAGGCACAACAUGUGCUCACGGCUAUUGAAGAUCACUGCUUGUGGGUUCUCUCAAUGGACAGCCAGCAAAUGUCUAUUUAAAUCAAAAGCUCAAUACCAUAAAGUUCUUAAGAUUUCCUCAUUCCGUAUUUCUAUUUGACCUCCUCUAAAGUGAAAAAACUUCCCCAACUAUAUAAAUAUUUUCACCCAUUUGCUCUAUCCUAUAAUACACACAAAACACAUACUUUCAGAAUUACACUAUACAACUAUAAAUUCACUUAAAAAUUUCUUUGCAUUUCUUUUUUCUUCUUAGAAUUUAGGCCUCCUGGUAUAUAGAAUAUUCUGUUCAAAUUGAAUUAAUCAUUUUCUCUGUAUGGUUAUACUAUCAAUUUGAUACAAAGUUAGAGACAUCCCUUUAAGUGUAUAUGCUGUUUUAAAUUUCCUUUCUUAAUCCUUUUAGUAUAAUUUUAUUUUUCAAAGAUGUGAAACAUGUAUAUAGUUCAUAACUAAAAAUGUAAGCUCAGAGACAUUUUGCUUUCAUCCUGUCCACUCCGCACUGCUCCCACCCACUGCUUUGAGGUAACUAAUCUUUUUUUGUUGUUGUUGUUGUUGUCUUUUUAAGGCCUUACCCACGGCAUAUGGAGGUUUCCAGACUGGGGAUCAAAUCGGAGCUAUAGCUGCUGGCCUAUGCUAUAUCCACAGCAAUGCCAGAUCUAUCUGAGCCACAUCUUCAACCUUCACCACAACUCGUGGCAAUGCCAGAUCUUUAACCCACUGAGCAAGGCCAGGGAUCGAACUUGCGUCCUCAUGGAUACUAGUCAGAUUUGUUUCUGCUGACCCAUGACGGGAACUCCAAGGUAACUAAUCUUAAUAGCUCCUGCUUUAUCCUUUCUGUGUUCCUUUUACAAAAAUGUAUUUAAUUAAAAAUAUUUUAUAUAUACAAUUUUUAUAAAAUUAGAUAAAUAUAUAUGUACAAAUGUAUGCAUGUAUAUGUAUAUAUAAAUAUUAUUUUAGUUCUCAUAUGGGUUUAUUUUUAUUUGAAUCUCUGAUUUAUUUGAUGUGGUAUACGGUAUGAGAUAUAGAUCCAAUUUUACCCGUUCCCAAAUGGCAAUUCAGUUAUUUCAAUAUCAUUUUUAAAACCACCCUAUUUUCCCCAGUGUUUCAUUUGCCACCUUUAUCAUGUUCUAAAUUUCCACAUAUACUUGGACUCUUUCUAGACUUUAUAUUAU